rnacentral:rRNA from 2 species
AAAUUGAAGAGUUUGAUCAUGGCUCAGAUUGAACGCUGGCGGCAGGCCUAACACAUGCAAGUCGAACGGUAACAGGAAGCAGCUUGCUGCUUUGCUGACGAGUGGCGGACGGGUGAGUAAUGUCUGGGAAACUGCCUGAUGGAGGGGGAUAACUACUGGAAACGGUGGCUAAUACCGCAUAAUGUCGCAAGACCAAAGAGGGGGACCUUCGGGCCUCUUGCCAUCAGAUGUGCCCAGAU